UCCGGAGAGGGAGCCUAACGUUACUUGGAUAACUGUGGCAAUUCUAGAGCUAAUACAUGCCAACGAGCGCUGACCUCCGGGGAUGCGUGCAUUUAUCAGACCCAAAACCCAUGCGGGGUGCCUUCGGGCGCCCCGGCCGCUUUGGUGACUCUAGAUAACCUCGAGCCGAUCGCGCGCCCUUUGUGGCGGUGACGUCUCAUUCGAAUGUCUGCCCUAUCAACUUUCGAUGGUACUUUCUGUGCCUACCAUGGUGACCACGGGUAACGGGGAAUCAGGGUUCGAUUCCGGAGAGGGAGCCUGAGAAACGGCUACCACAUCCAAGGAAGGCAGCAGGCGCGCAAAUUACCCAAUCCCAAUACGGGGAGGUAGUGACAAUAAAUAACAAUAUAGGGCUCUUUUGGGUCUUAUAAUUGGAAUGAGUACAAUUUAAAUCCCUUAACGAGGAUCAAUUGGAGGGCAAGUCUGGUGCCAGCAGCCGCGGUAAUUCCAGCUCCAAUAGCGUAUAUUAAAGUUGUUGCCGUUAAAAAGCUCGUAGUCGAACUUCGGCCUCUGCCACCCGGUCCGCCUAUUUGGGUGUGUACUGGAGUGGUGGAGGCUUACCUCGUGGUGAGCGGCCAUGUCCUUUACUGGGCGUGGUCGGGAACCAUGACAUUUACUUUGAAAAAAUUAGAGUGUUCAAAGCAGGCUUACGCCCGAAUACAUUAGCAUGGAAUAAUAAAAUAGGACGUGCGGUCCUAUUUUGUUGGUUUCUAGGAUCGCCGUAAUGAUUAAUAGGGAUAGUUGGGGGCAUUCGUAUUCAAUUGCUAGAGGUGAAAUUCUUGGAUUUAUUGAAGACGAACUACUGCGAAAGCAUUUGCCAAGGAUGUUUUCAUUGAUCAAGAACGAAGGUUAGGGGAUCGAAAACGAUCAGAUACCGUUGUAGUCUUAACAGUAAACGAUGCCGACUAGGGAUCGGACGAGGAUUUUUAAUGACUCGUUCGGCACCUGAAGAGAAAUCUUUAAGUCUAGGUUCGGGGGGGAGUAUGGUCGCAAGGCUGAAACUUAAAGGAAUUGACGGAAGGGCACCACCAGGAGUGGAGCCUGCGGCUUAAUUUGACCUCCCGACUCGGGGANNNNGGUAGCCAGCCGCCGGCGGUGGGGCUGUGCUUCCAAAAAACAACACUCUGGCUGUGGGUUGGGGUAGGUUAGGGGGGUUCGCGCCCCGCUGCCUCUCCCUUCCCUCAG
rnacentral:rRNA from 1 species